GGCACGGGGAAGGACAGCGAGCUGAACAACUUCUGCAAAUCAAAAACAUAAAGGAAAAAAAUAAUAAAAAAAAAGAGGCUCGUUCAUGGGACAUCUUCGAAGCUCAGUACCACGCGAGGCAUCCAAGCCGCAGUGAGCCCUCCAUGCUAGUGAAUCCCGCCACAGUGACAGGAGGGAAGCUGGCUGUGGCCACUGCUCCCAAGCCCCGCGGGCAUUAGAGUCGCCUUGGCUUUCUGGCUGGAAGAUGAUUCCUGCAACAGGACCAUGUUGCUGAUGAUGAACAGCAGAGUCGUUGGAGGAUGCCUUCCUUGAGGAUUACACGUGGAGCAAGGCCAUCAGUCAAGGGGAGAGCUGGCUGGUGAAACUGUCUGACUUUCCCCCCGCCGGGGAAGUGGCUUCAAUGGCUCCAUCUCCCAGGAGAAGCAGUAGGAAAGAUGCCAGCGCCUUACCAAGCAUGUCCUCAACUUUCUGGGCUAUCAUGAUCCUGGCUAGUCUCCUAAUCGCUUACUGCAGUCAACUGGCUGCAGGUACAUGUGAGAUUGUUACUUUGGACAGAGAUAGCAGUCAGCCCCGAAGGACUAUAGCCCGACAAACAGCUCGCUGUGCAUGUAAAAAGGGACAGAUUGCCGGUACAACAAGAGCAAGGCCAGCGUGUGUUGAUGCACGAAUUAUCAAAACAAAACAGUGGUGUGAAAUGCUUCCAUGUUUAGAAGGAGAAGGCUGUGAUUUGCUAAUCAAUAAAUCAGGCUGGACCUGUACACAACCAGGAGGACGGAUAAAGACAACCACGACUGAAGAUCAGCUGGAAAUAUCCUGAGGCCAUGGUCUAGUGGUCUGAGCUUGGGAACUGGGAGCCAGAAACUCUUGAGCUCUAAUCCUGGCUCUGACAGUGACUCCCUCUGUGGCCUUGGGUCUCCUGACAAAUGCAGCAACACAGAAUCCUCGUAGGAGUGGUUUAGGCUCUCUGUGAGCUACUUAACUUAGUCAAGUUUCACUGCUGUUGAUCAUCAUCUGUUAUAUGUCAUCAGCUCAACUGUCUGUUUCUCUGUAUCUCAUAAAUGACAGCAUAAUUCCUCUGCAUUAUGAGCUAAAGUUUGUUCUACCAUUCUAAGGAUCACUGGACUAAGGAAUAUAGAAAAAGAGAUAUGCUUGGGCAUUAGCAAUACAAAAAAGUUCAUGGUUAACGUUUCAUCUGCGUUACACACCACUGCUGGACUUGCUGUUACCUACAUGUUUCAAUCCGAAGAGUCUGCUACAAUGAAGAGUAUCAUCCCAAUCAGCCUUAGAGAAGACUGUUUUGCCUAUGGGAGGACACUGAGGUGCAAAAGAGAAACUCUUCUUGUGCCCUAAACUGUCUGAAUUGCUUUUAUUUUCUUAUACUUUCAGUAUUUACAAUAGACCAAAGAGCAAAAUCUAUUUUAAAGUGGACACAAUCUUACUCUUAAUAGAGUUAUGUCAUUAAAUUGAAGGAGAUCUCCACAAAGACAUUAUUCCAGCUUUCACAAAGCUGAAAUGUUGUCCAGCAGAAGUCUUUAUGGAAAGCUGAAGUAAAAACUAACUCAGAGACCUGCUCUUGAAAUGCCAUGUUCAAGAGAAUGUAAUGGAGCACUGAGAGAAAAUGACCUAUGUUUGAAAAUCAUGGACAAAAAGAAAACAGAAACUGUCUACACGGCACCUUUAUUCCUCUGUACUUAGAUUGACUUUCUCGUACUAAAAUCAUUUUCCGUUUUAACCAGUUAAACAUGCCUCUUCUACAGUUCCAUUUUUGAUAGUUAAAGUUGGAUAAUACAGUAUUUGCAAAGAGCAUGUUUGGUCAUCUGUGGCCUAUGUCUCAUCUGAUACACCAUUUAGCACCAGAAAGCAAAUUAAAGAGAAAACAAAAGUAACACUUGUUUGAAAGAGAUCAUUAAAUGUAUUUUGAAAAGCCUAAAGUUAUAUAUUUAACAGUUUUUAUAUGUUGUAUAUUUGUAGAAAAUCCUAUUUAACAAUUAACGUGAUAACUCUGACAGUCAUGAAAAGUGGUUCAGAGUUAAGUUGUGUUUUAUUACUUCAGUUGUCUCUGAAGUGACCGGUGUCGUUUGCUUUCUUCCAUUGGGACAUUCUGGAUGUAAAGCAUGACCAGAGAGGACUGUGUAGAAAAAGCAAAGAAUAAUGUUGUUUAUAUUACAUAAAUGCAUUCAACCAUUGCA